UCUAUGACAUGCACUGCCUGACGCGAAUGGAGAAGUAACGUCCCUAUCCCUAGGCUACAUUACAAGGUGCGGUAGAGAACACAAACAUUUUACUUCCCUAGACUAGAGACAGUAGAAAUUUAGUGUUCGGAAGAGGAACUCACAGAACACUCUUUUCUUCGCUUCAGCCAUGGCUGCCAGUUCUGUGGUACUAUUUCCGACAGCCAUCUGUCUCCGUGCAAAUCAAGAAGGAAGAGGAAAGGUCGAGAUCAGAAUUGUCGUCCUCCGAAGACUUUUCAGUGCUGUACUGAAUGAAAGCAGAAGUCAGAAACGAGAACAGUCCAGCUCUGUUUCAAUCUCUUUCACCAAGCCGCACAACCUCGGCACAAGGCCAAGAUAACCUGCUUGACCGGACACGAGCUGCAUGCACCACCGUUUGUUCCCCAAAGGCUGCAAAAUACAUCGCAGACUCGGUCCGGAAACAGCCGGUUGCCCUGCUCUGCUGCAGAGCGCAUUGUCUCGGCUGCGGUCGCUGCUGCAAGUCAUCCCGUGGUUUUGACCUGCAUAGCUGUGCUAAUUUCCUGUCCAGGGAGUAGAGCGGCGUUUCUGGAUCAAAUGCUGAACUCAGUGCUGUCGACCCCUGCACAGGGGACACGUGACCAUUUGAUGGCAGUGUUACCAAGGACCAAGGUUCCCAGUACUCAUUUGCCGAAAUUGGUUGGAAAAUUAACUCCAAUUUGACUUCAAGACUAAAUUAUGCGUCUACUUUAUAAAAUAUAUGGCAAGGGCAUCAACAGGCUGUAAGUACAUCACAUAUUCAUCACGGAACAAUGGGUGGCCCGUAGCUGUUAUAUUCCUUUCAUGAGCAAAAGAAGCACGGAUACCACUGUAAAUGUUGACGAGGCCUUUGAACCAUCACCCUUCAAAGUCGGUACUAGUACAUUGAUGAUGAGAGUGGCAGCAAACAGGUCCUUAUAUCUAGCUUGCUAGCCGAGCAAAGCCGUGACAAAAUGGCAUCUAAGAGAGCGCAAGUCUCGCCAAAUGCACAGGGAAAUUCCAUGGCUAACCCAUCUAUUUGGAGCGGAAAAAGUGCAGUAUUCCAAAAUGCUCGAAAUUAUUUAUUGCACCCAGAAAUGUUCGUGGUUAUUGCCACCAAUUCGUUUUGCAAACCAGGUUGCCUGGACUGCAAACAGCCUCUUCUACACUGGCAACGUACAGAAGUCACCGUCAAGCGAGUCUGUCAUGUGUUCAGGUGUACAAAAACAUCUAGCAGUACGUAGUCACGCGAGGCCAGGUCAGUGGGAACCUACCAAAAAGUCCUGUGUGCACGAGUUGUAAGUCUUAUGAGAGUACGUCGAAUCCAUACACAUUUGUAUGUGCGCUUGUGGGAGGAAAAUCCGUGCGACGAAAAAGGACCGUGCUAAGCAGGUGUACAUUUUACCCGGAUACAUACUAAGCCUGGGCAAAACACAUGAAGCAUUAUUUGAACAAUCUCAAAGUAAUACACUGUCUUUCUGAAGACCAAAUUAGGCGCCGCGAUAAAUACACGGAAAAAUUGCUUCUAAAGCCUUUAGCCAUAGCCCAUAAACAUGACGACCAUGCUAUGGUCAUGUUCAUCAUUUGACGAUUUUUGUUGUGUGCAGCACCUCAACAUGUUCCAAUCCUGGGUUGUUCACUGAGUAUGCUAAUGUCAUGUUCUGUUAUCUGUGUUUGUGUGCAAAUUUAUUGCUUCCUUUCAUUGGAGAGAACGUGUUAUGACUUUGGUCAUGGAUCCAGUGAUGAGGCUGCGUUGGUCAUACAUCCAGUGAUGAGGCUACAUCGGCUACACAUCCAGUAUUGAGGCUACAUCUCUCACAGACCCAGUGUUGAGGCUACAUCGGUCACAUAUCCAGUGAUGAGGCUACAUCGGUCACAUAUCCAGUGAUGAGGCUACAUCGGUCACAUAUCCAGUGAUGAGGCCACAUCAGUCACACAUCCAGUGAUGAGGCUACAUCGGUCACAUAUCCAGUGAUGAGGCUGCAUCGGUCACACAUCCAGUGAUGACGCUACAUCGGUCGCACAUCCAGUGAUGAGGCUACAUCGGUCACACACACAGGGAUGAGGCUAAAUUGGAAGCAAAUCCAGUGCAACGGCUAUGUCGAAAAACAAUAAUGAAGCUGUUGCUCUGUGUGUGGGUCAGUGGGAUGGGGCGUACUGGAAGAAUCGUGCUGAAGACACUGACAACGAAGGGUUUCAUGGUGGUAAUCCCAGGGCAGUUGCAUCACAGAGUACUGCUGGAGGUGGUAAUCCCAGGGCAGUUGCAUCACAGAGUACUGCUCGAGGCGCAUGCUGGUAUUAUGUCACGUAACGUCUGUCCGCUGGAUUGCACAUUGCUGAGCAUGCAUUGGACUGGAGAUGUCUGUCAACUGGAUUGCACAUUGCUGAGCAUGCAUUGGACUGGAGAUGUCUGUCAACUGGAUUGCACAUUGCUGAGCAUGCAUUGGACUGGUUACCUAUCAACCAGGGAAAAUUGCAUCGCUGAGAGGAUAAAAACGGUCACUAUGCAGUGUCCACCGGAAUGUUGCAAGCCAAAUCGUUCUCGCUUUGAUCUAGUUCUGGACCAUGUGUUGAUAAUCCAAAUAGGGAUAUCAAACACUACAGCAGCUUUGUCUUAUUAUGCUUGUUACCUGCCAGUAUUAGCAUCAUAUUGUGUUCUGGCUAGCUGCUUGAUACCAGCAUGUAUAGCAUGUAUAGCAGCUACAUGCAAUAUCCUGCCUAGCUGCCUGAUACCUGUAUGUACCUAUAUACAAUAUCCUGGCUAGCUGCUUGAUACCAGCAUGUAGCUACAUACAAUAUUCUGGCUGUAGUUUGAUAACAGCAAGUAUUAUAGCUAGUAUGCUGGCGUAUUGUGCCAAAUGGAAUUGAACAAAACAUUCGUGCACGGCGUCUGUUCCCCUAGUAGUGUUGUUCUUGUUCUGCACACUACGUUGCAGGCGCCGCCGCAUUGUUACGUGUAGAAAUUCACAUGCAACACUAGUUCAUCCUGAAAUGCCAGCUUAUGAUUAUCAAAGCCAAGUUAGCCCAUGCGGGCACAUGCGCCGUGAUGGUCUCAUGAGGCAUGACAUUAAUUAUUAUUUUGCGCUGAGUGUCGUCUGUUAUUUUCAUUUUUGCACUGCUGCUACUGUUGCCUGUAUACGCGCUGCAGUGGAUAGUUGAGUGCAGUUUGGUGUUUUUUGUCCUGUGAACAAGAAGUGCUUUUCCUUGUCAGGCUUGUAUUUUCUCUUCCUCCCUCCCUUUUGCAAUACCUUUCUGUAAUUAUCGUA